rnacentral:rRNA from 1 species
UACGGAGGGCGCAAGCGUUGUCCGGAAUUAUUGGGCGUAAAGAGCUCGUAGGCGGUCUGUUGAGUCUGCCGUGAAAACCCGAGGCUUAACCUCGGGCCUGCGGUGGAUACGGGCAGACUAGAGGUAGGUAGGGGAGAACGGAAUUCCCGGUGUAGCGGUGAAAUGCGCAGAUAUCGGGAGGAACACCGGUGGCGAAGGCGGUUCUCUGGGCCUUACCUGACGCUGAGGAGCGAAAGCGUGGGGAGCGAACAGG